rnacentral:rRNA from 1 species
GAUGAACGCUGGCGGCGUGCCUAAUACAUGCAAGUCGAGCGAAGCGGGGACGGGUGAGUAACACGUGGAUAACCUCCUAUAAGACUGGGAUAACCUCGGGAAACCGGAGCUAAACCGGAUACUUAUCGAUGGAUCCGCGCUGCAUUAGCUAGUGGGUAAGGUAACGGCUUACCAAGGCAACGAUGCAUAGCCGACCUGAGAGGGUGAUCGGCAAACCUGGAACUGAGACACGGUCCAGACUCCUACGGGAGGCAGCAGUAGGGAAUCUUCCGCAAUUGGCGAAAGCCUGCCGGAGAAACGCCGCGUGAGUGAAGAAGGUUGGCGGAUCUUAAAACUCUGUUGUUAGAGAAGCGGUAUCUAACCAGAAAGCCACGGCUAACUACGUGCCAGCAGCCGCGGUAAUUC